rnacentral:rRNA from 1 species
ACUUUAAUUGAAGAGUUUGAUCAUGGCUCAGAUUGAACGCUGGCGGCAGGCCUAACACAUGCAAGUCGAGCGGUAACAGAAAAGAAGCUUGCUUCUUUUGCUGACGAGCGGCGGACGGGUGAGUAAUGCCUGGGAAUAUACCCUGAUGUGGGGGAUAACUAUUGGAAACGAUAGCUAAUACCGCAUAAUCUCUUCGGAGCAAAGAGGGGGACCUUCGGGCCUC